rnacentral:rRNA from 1 species
UACGAAGGGGACUAGCGUUGUUCGGAAUCACUGGGCGUAAAGCGCACGUAGGCGGACUUUCAAGUCAGGGGUGAAAUCCCGGAGCUCAACUUCGGAAUUGCCUUUGAUACUGUUGGUCUCGAGUCCGGAAGAGGUGGGUGGAAUUCCUAGUGUAGAGGUGAAAUCGUAGAUAUUAGGAAGAACACCGGUGGCGAAGGCGGCCUGCUGGGCAGUUGCUGACACUGAGGCGCGACAGCGUGGGGAGCAAACAGG